UCAAAUAUAGCGGCGGAGCUAGGUCGUGCUCUAAGCGUAGUAACCAAAUUCUCGCUUCUGAAGCCGGCCCGGGUCCUGCCGUAAAACCCCCUAUAUUUUUCUGGUUGACCUCGGAUCAGGUAGGAAUACCCGCUGAACUUAAGCAUAUCAAUAAGCGGAGGAAAAGAAACCAACAGGGAUUGCCCUAGUAACGGCGAGUGAAGCGGCAACAGCUCAAAUUUGAAAUCUGGCCUUCGGGUCCGAGUUGUAAUUUGCAGAGGAUGCUUUUGGCGCGGUGCCUUCCGAGUUCCCUGGAACGGGACGCCUUAGAGGGUGAGAGCCCCGUACGGUUGGACACCAAGCCUCUGUAAAGCUCCUUCGACGAGUCGAGUAGUUUGGGAAUGCUGCUCUAAAUGGGAGGUAAAUUUCUUCUAAAGCUAAAUACCGGCCAGAGACCGAUAGCGCACAAGUAGAGUGAUCGAAAGAUGAAAAGCACUUUGAAAAGAGGGUUAAAUAGCACGUGAAAUUGUUGAAAGGGAAGCGUUUACGGCCAGACCUUUUCCUGGCGGAUCAUCUGGUGUUCUCACCAGUGCACUUCGCCAGGUUUAGGCCAGCAUCGGCUUCUGUAGGGGGAUAAAAGCAGUGGGAAAGUAGYUCCCUCGGGAGUGUUAUAGCCCUAAGCAUAAUACCC
rnacentral:rRNA from 1 species